rnacentral:rRNA from 1 species
UACGGAGGGAGCUAGCGUUGUUCGGAAUUACUGGGCGUAAAGCGCGCGUAGGCGGCUUUGUAAGUUAGAGGUGAAAGCCUGGAGCUCAACUUCAGAAUUGCCUUUAAGACUGCAUCGCUUGAAUCCGGGAGAGGUGAGUGGAAUUCCGAGUGUAGAGGUGAAAUUCGUAGAUAUUCGGAAGAACACCAAUGGCGAAGGCGGCUCACUGGCCCGGUACUGGCGCUGAGGUGCGAAAGCGUGGGGAGCAAACAGG